rnacentral:rRNA from 1 species
UCUACGGGUGGCUGCAGUCGAGAAUCUUCGGCAAUGGGCGCAAGCCUGACCGAGCGACGCCGCGUGUGGGAUGAAGGCCUUCGGGUUGUAAACCACUGUUAGAGGGGAUGAAAUGCAGGUGGGUUCUCCCAUCUGUUUGACAUAGCCUCAGAGGAAGGACGGGCUAAGUUCGUGCCAGCAGCCGCGGUAAGACGAACCGUCCAAACGUUAUUCGGAAUCACUGGGGUAAGAGGCGCCGUAGGCGGCGCGGCAAAUACCUCGGCUCAACCGAGGAACUGCGCCCAAAACUGCCGUGCUCGAGGAAGAUAGAGGUGAGCGGAACUUAGGGUGGAGCGGUGAAAUGCGUUGAUAUCCUAAGGAACACCGGUGGCGAAAGCGGCUCACUGGAUCUUUUCUGACGCUGAGGCACGAAAGCUAGGGUAGCGAACGGGAUUAGAUACCCGAGUAGUC